rnacentral:rRNA from 1 species
AGUGAACGCUGGCGGUAGGCCUAACACAUGCAAGUCGAACGGCAGCACAGUAAGAGCUUGCUCUUACGGGUGGCGAGUGGCGGACGGGUGAGGAAUACAUCGGAAUCUACUUUUUCGUGGGGGAUAACGUAGGGAAACUUACGCUAAUACCGCAUACGACCUACGGGUGAAAGCAGGGGAUCUUCGGACCUUGCGCGAUUGAAUGAGCCGAUGUCGGAUUAGCUAGUUGGCGGGGUAAAGGCCCACCAUGGCGACGAUCCGUAGCUGGUCUGAGAGGAUGAUCAGCCACACUGGAACUGAGACACGGUCCAGACUCCUACGGGAGGCAGCAGUGGGGAAUAUUGGACAAUGGGCGCAAGCCUGAUCCAGCCAUACCGCGUGGGUGAAGAAGGCCUUCGGGUUGUAAAGCCCUUUUGUUGGGAAAGAAAAGCAGCAGGUUAAUACCCCGCUGUUCUGACGGUACCCAAAGAAUAAGCACCGGCUAACUUCGUG